ensembl:lncRNA
UAAAGUCACCAAAAAGUCCCAAAACACACAUAUUCAAACCUUUUCAGAGCUUCCUUUCCUGAUUCCAACCAGCCACACGUGCUAGUUCAAUACUGGGGCUUUGGAGGAGGACCAAACCUCCCUAUUGCCUGCUUAGCUGUGUGCCAUUCAGUGGUGAAGGACUUGGAACUUUGGGGGUGGUGAAGAAAUCAUCUUUGUGCCCACGAAGCAGGAAAAGCCAGUGACUGAGGAGACCAGGAAAAGGGAGUGGACUGACUGGCUUUGGUUCUUUCUUUUUCUUCCAGGCUUCAGACUGUGUGGAUGUCCUGGGACUCUCUUCCUAGAGGGUUGGAUAAAUCUGCACCCAACCACCCAGCCUCCCAGUUACUGCUCCCAUAGGGCAGCUGGAGCAAAGGGACUCAACUAGCUGAGUUUGAGUCUGAGCUUCCUGCUACUUCCUCAGCUUUGUCUUCCUUGGCUUGAUUAAGGACUGUCUCACAGAAGCCCUGAAACAACAUGUCUAAUUUUGGAGGAAAUUGUACGUUUAAAGGUUAGAGAUCUUGGGUCCAUUGGUCAGAACUGGCAGGAAGCAAGAGAAGUUCCAACCUCAGAGAAGAUGGCCCAGGACAAGGGGCAGAGAGCACACUCUGGAGUUAUUUGGACAGUGCAGAGAAGAGAGUAUCUGAUAUGUGGGAUGGAUGUCUUCUUAAAGAGUACCAAGAAUGGAUCUGGAAUAUUCCCCUCCAAGGGAAGCUACUGACUUUUUAGACUUUGCCUCAGCUGCAAUCUCACCAUGAAACAUUCCUCUGUACCUGGGAACUUCUCACCAUAGAACAUUACCCAUUUUCCUUGUCUGCUUCCUUCUCCCAUUGGUGAAUUCCUCCUGUUGCUUUUGAGGAGAAACCUAGGCUGGCCAACCUUGAUUCCUCUAUCCACCAUGCUUCUGAUUUUACUGAUUUCAAGAGCAGGCUCUGACUCCAGUAUCUCUCCCCCCCCCCUUUUUUAAUUCCCUUUUGUGUGUUGUCUUCCUCUAUUAGAAUGUAAGCUUCUUGAUAAUUAGGAAAAAGACUUGUACAAGAAUAUUCAUAGCUGCACUCUUUGUGGUGGCAAAAAUUUGGAAAAUUAAGGGAUGCCCUUCGAUUGGGGAAUGACUGAACAAAUUGUGGUAUCUGUUGGUGAUGGAAUUCUAUUGUGCUCAAAGGAAUAAUGAACUGGAGGGAUUCCAUGUGAACUGGAACGACCUCCAGGAAUUGAUACAGAGUGAAAGAAGCAGAAGCAGGAGAACGUUGUACACGGAGACAGAUACAUUAUAGCACAAUCAAGUGUAAUGGACUUUUCUACUAGCAGCAAUGCAAUGAUCCAGGACCAUUUUGAGGAACUUAUGAGAAAGAAUGGAUCCACAUCCAGAGAAAGAACUGUGGGAGCAGAAACACUGAAGAAAAACAACUAUUUGAUCACAUGAAUCGAUGGGGAUAUGAUUAGGGAUGUAGACUCUAAAGGAUCACCCUGGUGCAAAUAUCAAUAAUAUGGAAAUAGAUCUUGAUCAAUGACACAUGUAAAACCCAAUGGAAUUGUGCAUUGGCUACAGGAGGGGGGGAGGAGGAAGGGAGGGAAAGAACAUGAAUUGUAACCAUGGAAAAAUAGUCUAAAUUAAUCAAUAAAAUUAAAUUAAAAAGAAAAAAGAAUGUAAGC